AUUGAACGCUGGCGGCAGGCCUAACACAUGCAAGUCGAGCGGAUGAAGGGAGCUUGCUCCUGGAUUCAGCGGCGGACGGGUGAGUAAUGCCUAGGAAUCUGCCUGGUAGUGGGGGAUAGCGUCCGGAAACGGGCGCUAAUACCGCAUACGUCCUGAGGGAGAAAGUGGGGGAUCUUCGGACCUCACGCUAUCAGAUGAGCCUAGGUCGGAUUAGCUAGUUGGUGGGGUAAAGGCCUACCAAGGCGACGAUCCGUAACUGGUCUGAGAGGACGAUCAGUCACACUGGAACUGAGACACGGUCCAGACUCCUACGGGAGGCAGCAGUGGGGAAUAUUGGACAAUGGGCGAAAGCCUGAUCCAGCCAUGCCGCGUGUGUGAAGAAGGUCUUCGGAUUGUAAAGCACUUUAAGUUGGGAGGAAGGGCAGUAAGUUAAUACCUUGCUGUAUUGACGUUACCGACAGAAUAAGCACCGGCUAACUUCGUG
rnacentral:rRNA from 1 species